rnacentral:rRNA from 1 species
GAUGAACGCUGGCGGCGUGCCUAAUACAUGCAAGUCGAGCGAACAGACGAGGAGCUUGCUCCUCUGACGUUAACGGCGGACGGGUGAGUAACACGUGGAUAACCUACCUAUAAGACUGGGAUAACUUCGGGAAACCGGAGCUAAUACCGGAUAAUAUAUUGAACCGCAUGGUUCAAUAGUGAAAGACGGUUUUGCUGUCUCUUAUAGAUGGAUCCGCGCCGCAUUAGCUAGUUGGUAAGGUAAAGGCUUACCAAGGCAACGAUGCGUAGCCGACCUGAGAGGGUGAUCGGCCACACUGGAACUGAGACACGGUCCAGACUCCUACGGGAGGCAGCAGUAGGGAAUCUUCCGCAAUGGGCGAAAGCCUGACGGAGCAACGCCGCGUGAGUGAUGAAGGUCUUCGGAUCGUAAAACUCUGUUAUUAGGGAAGAACAAAUGUGUAAGUAACUAUGCACGUCUUGACGGUACCUAAUCAGAAAGCCACGGCUAACUACGUG